UACAGAGGGUGCAAGCAUUGAUCGGAAUUACUGGGCGUAAAGGGCGCGUAGGCGGUAUAGAAAGUCAGAUGUGAAAUUCCGGGGCUCAACCCCGGAGCUGCAUUUGAAACUUCUAAACUAGAGUGUAGUUAGGGAAAACGGAAUUCCACGUGUAGCGGUGAAAUGCGUAGAUAUGUGGAAGAACACCAGUGGUGAAGACGGUUUUCUGGGCUAUAACUGACGCUGAGGCGCGAAAGCAAAGGGAGCAAACAGG
rnacentral:rRNA from 1 species